UAGUCCACGCCGUAAACGAUGUUCACUCGCUGUCCGCGAUACACAGUAGGCGGCUGAGCGAAAGCAUUAAGUGAACCACCUGGGGAGUGCGAUCGCAAGGUUGAAACUCAAAGGAAUUGACGGGGGCCCGCACAAGCGGAGGAACAUGUGGUUUAAUUCGAUGAUACGCGAGGAACCUUACCUGGGCUUAAAUGUAGAUUGCAUGAGGUGGAAACACUUCUUUACUUCGGUACUAUUUACAAGGUGCUGCAUGGUUGUCGUCAGCUCGUGCCGUGAGGUGUCGGGUUAAGUCCCAUAACGAGCGCAACCCCUAUCGUUAGUUGCUAGCAGGUAAUGCUGAGGACUCUAGCGAGACUGCCACCGUAAGGUGAGAGGAAGGUGGGGAUGACGUCAAAUCAUCAUGGCCCUUAUGGGUAGGGCUACACACGUACUACAAUGGAAAGUACAGAGGGUUGCGAUACCGCGAGGUGGAGCUAAUCUCAGAAAACUUUUCGUAAGUCCGGAUUGCA
rnacentral:rRNA from 1 species